rnacentral:rRNA from 1 species
GAUGAACGCUAGCUACAGGCUUAACACAUGCUAGUCGAGGGGUAACAAGAGAAAAGCUUGCUUUUCUUGUUGACGACCGGCGCACGGGUGAGUAACGCGUAUCCAACCUGCCUAUAACUAGUGAAUAACCUUGCGAAAGUAAGACUAAUACCCUAUGAUUUCCUUUGAUGGCAUCAGAUUAGGAAUAAAGUUUUAUCGUUUUUAGAUGGGGAUGCGUCUGAUUAGCUUGUUGGCGGGGUAACGGCCCACUAAGGCAAUGAUCAGUAGGGUUUCUGAGAGGAAGGUCCCCCACAUUGGAACUGAGAAACGGUCCAAGCUCCUACGGGAGGAAGCAGUGAGGAAUAUUGGUCAAUGGGCGGAAGCCUGAACCAGCCAAGUAGCGUGCAGGAUGACGGCCCUAUGGGUUGUAAACUGCUUUUAUACAGGAAUAAAGUUAGCCACGUGUGGUUAUUUGUAGGUACUGUAUGAAUAAGGACCGGCUAAUUCCGUGCCAGCAGCCGCCGUAA